rnacentral:tRNA from 1 species
ACCUAGCUAGCUCAGUCAGUAGAGCAUGGGUCUCUUGAUCUCAUGAUUGUGGAGUUUGAGCCCCAUGCUGGGUA